ensembl:rRNA 5S_rRNA 5S ribosomal RNA
GUCAGUACCUGGAUGGGAGACCACAUGGGAAAGC